CCUACGGGAGGCAGCAGUGAGGAAUAUUGGUCAAUGGACGCGAGACUGAACCAGCCAAGCCGCGUGCGGGAGGACGGCUCUGUGAGUUGUAAACUGCUUUUGUCAGGGAGUAAACGCAGAUACGCGUCUCUGUCUGAGAGUAUCGUACGAAUAAGGAUCGGCUAACUCCGUGCCAGCAGCCGCGGUAAUACGGAGGAUUCGAGCGUUAUCCGGAUUUAUUGGGUUUAAAGGGUGCGUAGGCGGUCUGAUAAGUUAGAGGUGAAAUCCCGAGGCUCAACUUCGGAAUUGCCUCUGAUACUGUUCGGCUCGAGAGGAGUAGAGGUAGGCGGAAUGUACGGUGUAGCGGUGAAAUGCUUAGAGAUCAUACAGAACACCGAUUGCGAAGGCAGCUUACCAAGCUACCUCUGACGCUGAGGCACGAAAGCGUGGGUAGCAAACAGGAUUAGAUACCCGGGUAGUC
rnacentral:rRNA from 1 species